rnacentral:rRNA from 1 species
GACGAACGCUGGCGGCGUGCUUAACACAUGCAAGUCGAACGGUGAGAGCGGAGCUUGCUCCGCUGGAUCAGUGGCGAACGGGUGAGUAACGCGUGGGCAACCUGCCCCUCACUUCGGGAUAACUCCGGGAAACCGGGGCUAAUACCGGAUAUGACCUCCUGGGUCAUCCUUGGAGUGGGAAAGUUUGUCGGUGAGGGAUGGGCACGCGGCCUAUCAGCUUGUUGGUGAGGUAGUGGCUCACCAAGGGGAAGACGGGUAGCCGGCCUGAGAGGGCGACCGGCCACACUGGGACUGAGACACGGCCCAGACUCCUACGGGAGGCAGCAGUGGGGAAUAUUGCGCAAUGGGCGAAAGCCUGACGCAGCAACGCCGCGUGCGGGAUGACGGCCUUCGGGUUGUAAACCGCUUUCAGCAGGGAAGAAGCCGCAAGGUGACGGUACCUGCAGAAGAAGCACCGGCUAACUACGUGCCAGCAGCCGCGGUAA